GAAAUAUGCAAUGGAUGGUGAAAUGUCCUUAAGCAAUAUUAAGUUGUUUGGAGAAGAUUUCUUGGAAGACAAGCAAUUGGGUGAGCCACUUCCACCUUCAGGAUGGCUUUUCGAACGUCUAUUAAGCUGGUGAUUGUUCUUCAUUCUCCUGCUCUUCACGCGUCUUCCUUUCUGCAAAUGGAUAAGCCAAAAUGACUAUUGUAAAAGGAAAUACUGAUACA
rnacentral:misc_RNA from 1 species